GCAGGGUGAGCUGGCGCACACCUGUAAUCCCAGCAGCUUGGGAGGCUGAGGCAGGAGGAUCACAAGUUCAAAGCCAGCCUCAACAACUUAGCGGGCCCUAAGCAACUGAGUGAGACCCUGCCUCUA
rnacentral:sRNA from 1 species